AGACACUAGGAUGUGCAAGAAUACAUGAGACCAAGUCGCCAAGAUUCUAGCAAGUAUCAUGAUGAUCACCAAUAUGUACAAGUGAUAGUUGGAGUUUGGUAGUCUUUAUCCUCUUCAAAAAUUGCCCUUUUAGCAAAACAGUAAGGAAAUAAAAAAAGAGAAGGAAAUCAUUGGUAGUCUCACUUUUAUUUCACUUGUUUGUUUUUUGUCCCCAAAGCAAACAACUUCCUGGCAAGGAAGAUAAUUUUUUAAGUCCAUAUUAGUCAUUCCAGAUAUUCACUGAGUCUAGCAAGUCUCAUACAAGUUUCAAAUAUUGGCUGAGUAAAGAUUGUAUUCUGACAUAAAGAGACUCUUAAAUCAACAAUCCUCCAACUGCCUGAUGCAGCGAAGCCCUUCUAGAGGAUUAACAGAAUGAAGGAAAAUACCUUCAUUUUUAAAAGUAAAAGAGGGAUGAUCAGGCAAUAGAAAAAUAUAAUUCUUGUAGAGAAUUAUGUCCCAGCUCUUAACCUCUGACCAUUUCUUCUUUUACCCUCAUUUUAUCAUUUACAUUUUUUUCUAUCCCCCUUUUCUCUCCUCACCCUAAUUGUGCCAUUUAGUCCUCCCUUUCCUUAUUUUUCCAAGGAGACUUUGCUAUAGCAAGGGAUGGUUGCCCCCACCCUGGAAUACUGACUGCAUGAAUAUAAAUCAUUUGUGGGUAGCAGAAUGAGUCGACUGAUUAGGCCCGUAGAUUUGGGAGUGCAUCUCCCCUCCCCCCAGAGCCCCUCUUCCACCCAUAUACAUCUUUGUUGCUGGAUCUCAAUAUAGAUAAUUCACAGGAAGAGGUAAAGGCCACUUGUUUCCCCCAGCAUCCCCUCCUUCCACCAAAACUCACCUCCCUACCCAGUGGAAAGAAAUGAGAUAAUUAGGACUUUUUCCCUUAGAAAAUUUGCAAGAUGAGGCCCGAGAGGUGAAGCAUGCCAGAUGUUGUGGAGAGCAUGACGGAGCAGUCCCUUAGGCCACACAUGCUGAAGUCAUGAGCUUGGGAAAUCUGACUCAGGAGUCGCCGUCCAGGAUUCAGAAGGUUUGCACUCCAUGCUCAUUUUCUCCUGUCUUGAUACAACUUGGCAAACCAAACAGUGACCUCCUUGUUGGCUCUGCUGAACAGUUCUGGGACCCAUGCCAGCGCUCCCUGCAUUCCUUGGAGACAGGAGCACCCUCCUGUGCCCCCUUGGAGAGACAGUCCCCAGACACGGAGCCGAAUUGUCAACGAACCCCACUAGCUUGGUUCUCAAACAAGCUCGGGCACAAUCACCUGGAGAACUUGUCAUGAAUACAGAUUCCAGGCUUUGAGCCCCACAGCCCUGUGUGGACCCCAUGGUGAGUCUGACAGUUGCUGAGAAUCCCUGGCCUGCCAGGCCAGCUGCAUGGAAACUCCUCUCUGAAAUGCAAGUCUGGACUGCUUCCUCCCCUGCUCCCCCUACCCAGCAGGUGCGGACAUUUGCUAGCAGAAGUUCUUUGCUGUACGUCACAGCAUUUUACAACUAGCUUUCUGCAGAACAGUAAAAAACAAAAGAGUUCAACUUAAACAUAGCCAAACAACUUUUACCAGAGCACUAAAGUUGUUUCCUCUCCAGGCUCCGUGCUGGGGAGAUUUGAGCAGCUCUGCUCAAUCUGGACUCUUGGCAAGGUUAGCCUGGGCCCAACAUUUGCAAGAUUCGCAACAGCGACCUGAACCACCACAGGGACCCGAUCUCCCUGGCACAGCAGACCUGUGUGCCUGUGCCGGUGUGGGUGGAGCCUGGCCGAGGCCUCAGGACAGCACAGCCGGGUGUCAGAGUCCCGAGUCAGGCUGGCCCUUGCUGCCUGCUGGCCUUCUGACCUCCACAGCAUGGGUGGUCUUCCUGCUGGCAGAGUACAAGGCUGUGGAGUUCACAGCCCCCUCUGGGAGACAUGACGAAUGGCCUCACUGACAAAACGUGGUCUGCUUUCCAUCUCGGAGCCAUGAACAGCUUCGUUUUCAAAGCACGAAAACAAACCACAGGAACCAGACACAACACAUGCCGGCCACAAAUGAUACAGCCAUUUUCUCCUCUCAAAAUAAGGGACCUGCAAAGUUUCAUUUUCAGAACAAAGAAGAAAAGGGGCAGAGGAGGCCCCCAGGCAAGGAGUGUGGAUGAGAAGAGCCAUCCCUCAGGCUCUGGGGAGCAGAGGGCUGCAGAUGCACGCAUGGGUGUGGAUGUGUGAGCUGAGUGACUGAGGCUGCGGUCAGCAUUACCUGAAGACAAGUCAGCACUGUCUGCCUGUAGGAACCGUGUUCUGGGCACCCGGAUUUCAUCUUCUUCAUGAGGACAACGCCUCAGGCUUCCACAGUGACUUCCUGCAUCACAAGAUUCUGAGAAGCUGGGAGUGAAGGCACCUUUGUUAUGAAGCACACCAAGAGGCAACUAGAAGAGGGCAUCAACCUGCAGAGCACAACCAUGAUGGGCGCCUGUGGCCAGUGAGGGUGUGGAGUGGGGUGGUCCCAGCCAGAAAGGGCCCCACCACACUGCUUAAUGAGGGUGAUGGUUAAGAAAAGACUAAGUGGGUCCUCUUCUGGAAGCAGGUAGGACACUUAGAACAGACAGGAGACGAGUUAAAUGUGUGUUGUAUAAAUGUGAGGACGGAAAGAAGGAAUGGUUGUAAAACACCCGCCACCCCCCUUUUCAGUGACUCGGCUGUGGAAACAGCCAGCCUACAACAAACUAGACUCUUUGAGCAAGUAAGGGUGUGUGGAGAUAGCUUCCAGGUUAAAACAAAAAUCUGACUAAUCCCUGCUUUGCAAAACAUCAGUGGGUGCAUGUAAUACCAGCAAAAUCUGAGCUUUCAAUAAAUCAGAAAACAACGGAGGUAUUGUCUGAACUCACCAAAUGGUUCUUCAUUCCCACAGUGCAGAGCUCUAAUCUGUGCAGCCAAA